rnacentral:lncRNA from 1 species
CAAAGAGCUGGCUCACAUGCUCAUCAUAUGAGCCCCGCUUCAUAAAGUCAUGUCGUUUCAUAUCUACUGGGCUUCAGUGGGCUAGGAGGACCCGGGUGAGAGCAGCUAGAGAGCUGGAGAUGGAGCUGGGCUGGAGCUGGGCUGGUGGGAAGUUUCUUGAGAGUUCUUAGAGUUAUUGAGUGUUCUUGAGUUCUAAGAGAGUUCUUGAGUUCUAAGAGAGUUCUUGAGUUCUUAGAGAGUUGUUGUGUUCUUCUUUACUAGUAGUUGGGUGUUAGAGUGUUGAGUUGCUCUUGUGCUCCUCUUGAAGUUUCUACUGGAUGCUCUUCCACUGACGGCCCACAAAGCUUGGAUUGAGAAGACGUUUCAGAAAAGAGAGUGCAUCCAAAUAUUUCCCAGCAAAGAACCAAACAGGUACCAUUCAUACUACUGUUCUCCCAGAACCCAACAGGUACCAUUCAUGCCACUGUUCUCCCAGAACCCAACAGGUACCAUUCAUACUACUGUUCUCCCAGAACCCAACAGGUACCAUUCAUGUCACUGUUCUCCCAGAACCCAACAGGUACCAUUCAUGUCACUGUUCUCACAGAACCCAACAGGUACCAUUCAUGUGACUGUUCUCCCAGAACCCAACAGGUACCAUUCAUGCCACUGUUCUCACAGAACCCAACAGGUACCAUUCAUGUCACUGUUCUCCCAGAACCCAACAGGUACCAUUCAUGCCACUGUUCUCCCAAAACCCAACAGGUACCAUUCAUGCCACUGUUCUCCCAAAACCCAACAGGUACCAUUCAUGCCACUGUUCUCACAGAACCCAACAGGUACCAUUCAUGCCACUGUUCUCGCCGAUCCAAUUUUCCUUGCUCCUCACUAUUCUCAUAUGCUUCCAUGAUGAGCACCAGAUCAUUUGUUGAGGCAGAGAGAGAGAGAGAGAGAGAGAGAGAGAGAGAGAGAGAGAAGAGAGAGAGAGAGAGAGUAAGAGAGAGAGAGGAGAGAAGAGAGAGAGAGAGAGGAAGAGAGAGAGAGGGAGAGAGAGAGAGAGAGAGAGAGAGAGAGACAGCGAGAGAGAGAGACAGAGACGAGAGAGAGAGAGAGAGAGAGAGAGAGAGAGAGAGAGAGAGAGUGCUUUCACUGACCCAGUUUAAAAUAUUUAAAAAACUGUGUUUUUAGAGUGCUGUAUAACUUAGUGUACAUCCCAAAUGACAUCCUAUUCCCUAUAUAUAGUGCACUGUUGUCAGUCCUGGUCAAAAGUAGUGCACUACAAAGGGAAUAUGAUGCCAUUUGGGAUGUAGACUUAAUGAAUUCUCCACUCAUACAGAAACGCUCUCAGUAAAGAAAUUGUAUAAACAACCUGCCGUUACUUGGCCCAAAUCCCUUAUUAAGGCCCAAAUCCUUUCAAAUGGUGGUGAUUGUGGGGACUUAACGUGACAAAACCCCUCAGAUAGCUCUAAAGCAAACAGAGAUGCAAUUGAAAUUGGUCAGCACACAAAUAUGAACAGUAACAGCUGUUAGUAACAUGGUUAAGUAGCUCUACGCUACGUUGACAAAGCAAUACUAGCCAUCUUUCAUAGCUAUUUACACGAUCUGUCUGUGUUUCACAUUCCAUCACGGUACGCUUCCAUUAACACUUUAUAAACCAACAGGUAGAAAGCAUUAUGAAGUGGUUAUAAUGCAUUAUAACACCAGUAAUAAGCAUGUAUAACCCCCCAUAUGUCCUCCCUUUCUAUCUCCAGGUGCAGUUGUGGUCAGGUAGUGAACCAGCAUGUGGCCAUCAUCCCGGGGGCGACCACCAGGGUGGCGGAAGAGGCAGGUCAGAUAGCACAGGUGGCGGUGCCCAUGGAACGCUGGUCCGUGCUUAAACACACACAGGCCAUGCCCACAGACACAUACGGCAUCAUGGAGUUCCAGGGAGGAGGACAUGUCAACAAGGCCAUGUACAUCCGUGUGGCGUACGAUUCCAAGCCAGACAACAUGCUCCACCUGAUGGUGAAAGACUGGCAGCUGGAGCUCCCUACCCUGCUCAUCUCCGUCCACGGGGGACUGCAGAACUUUGACUUGCAGCCCAAACUAAAACAGGUGUUUGGAAAGGGUCUGAUCCAAGCUGCAGUCACCACCGGAGCCUGGAUACUCACUGGCGGAGUCAGCACUGGGGUGAUCCGGCAUGUUGGAGAUGCGUUGAAGGACCACUCCUCAAAGUCCAGGGGGAAAGUAUGUGCCAUCGGGAUCGCUCCAUGGGGCAUUGUGGAGAACAAGGAGGAUCUGAUAGGAAGAGAUGUGACACGUCCAUACCAGGCCAUGUCCAACCCCAUGUCCAAGCUGUCUGUCCUCAACAACAGCCACUCUCACUUCAUCCUAGCAGAUAACGGGACCCACGGAAAGUACGGCGCAGAGGUCCGUCUUCGCCGUCAGCUGGAGAAACACAUCUCCCUGCAGAAGAUCAACACACGUCUGGGUCAGGGAGUGCCUCUGGUCUGUCUGAUCCUGGAGGGGGGUCCCAACGUCAUCUCCAUAGUCCUGGAGAGCCUGAGGGAGGACCCCCCUGUCCCGGUGGUGGUCUGUGACGGCAGUGGACGGGCCUCUGACAUCAUCUCCUUCGCACACAGAUACUCUGAGGACGACGGCUUGGUAAGUGAUAGCGUGAAGGACCAGCUCCUGGUCACCAUACAGAAGACGUUCAACUACAACCGCGGUCAGGCCCAGCAGAUCUUCCUCAUGGUGAUGGAAUGCAUGAAGAAGCGAUCUCUGGUGAGUAGGGAAGACAUAAUUAUACAGGCUAUGUUCCCAUAAAUGACAUUAGCAUAACACUUAGAAUUCCUGUCCAAUGCAUUGCAUGCGUCAUAAGUGACGGUUUUAGUAUCUAGACAAUUUGUUAGUUAAAAUGUAUUUUUCUAAGCCUUUACGUACAUUUUAGAAACACUUUACCGCAUAAGUCAAACCUAAUGUAUUCAAAAUAUAUUCAAACAUUAAAGAUUAUAAUUUGUGAUGAAAGUAAAGCGACAUUUUAAUAAUUUAAUUGUUUUAUGUUAUUUGAUGCGUCAAUAAAAUUGUCCCAUUCAUUUGUGUCAUCCUGUACUUUCAUUCAUGUGUCAUGUGUCCAAUCAUUUGACCCGGUACGUUAAAUAAGUCAACACAACCAAUAUCCAUCAUCACUGAAGACCUGAAACUAUUCUACUUCAUAAACCCUGCAUCCCAUAGUCAGUGUCCCCAUAAACUAUAGUUGAAGAAUGUGUCCUCAUAAACAACGAUAAUAUGAACUACAUCACCAUCAUCCCUGUCUCACAUCUUCAACUACAUCACCAUCAUCCCUGUCUCACUUCCUCAACUACAUCACCAUCAUCCCUGUCUCACAUCUUGAACUACAUCUCCAUCAUCCCUGUCACACUUCCUCAACUACAUCUCCAUCAUCCCUGUCUCACUUCCUCAACUACAUCACCAUCAUCCCUGUCUCACUUCCUCAACUACAUCACCAUCAUCUCUGUCUCACUUCCUAAACUACAUCACCAUCAUCCCUGUCUCACUUCCUCAACUACAUCACCAUCAUCCCCAUCUCACUUCUUCAACUACAUCCCCAUCAUCCCUGUCUCACUUCUUCAACUAUAUCACCAUCAUCCCCAUCUCACUUCUUCAACUACAUCACCAUCAUCCCUGUCUCACUUCCCCAACUACACCACCAUCAUCCCUGUCUCACAUCUUCAACUACAUCACCAUCGUCCCUGUUUCACUUCCUCAACUACAUCACCAUCAUCCCUGUCUCACAUAUUCAACUACCUCACCCCUGUCUCACUUCCUCAACUACAUCACCAUCAUCCCUGUCUCACAUCUUCAACUACAUCACCAUCAUCCCUGUUUCACUUCCUCAACUACAUCACCAUCAUCCCUGUCUCACAUAUUCAACUACCUCACCAUCGUCCCUGUUUCACUUCCUCAACUACAUCACCAUCAUCCCUGUCUCACAUAUUCAACUACCUCACCCCUGUCUCACUUCCUCAACUACAUCACCAUCAUCCCUGUCUCACAUCUUCAACUACAUCACCAUCAUCCCUGUCUCACAUCUUCAACUACAUCACCAUCAUCCCUGUCUCACAUCUUUAUCUACAUCACCAUCCUCCCUGUCUCACUUCCUCAACUGCAUCACCCUCAUCCCUGUCUCCCAGCUUCUUCAACUACAUCUCCAUCAUCCCCGUCUCACUUCCUCAACUACAUCACCCUCAUCCCUGUCUCCCAGCUUCUUCAAUUACAUCACCAUCAUCCCUGUCUCACUUCCUCAACUACAUCACCAUCAUCCCUGUCUCACUUCCUCAACUACAUCACCAUCAUCCCCAUCUCACUUCCUCAACUACAUCACCAUCAUCCCUGUCUCACUUCUUCAACUACAUCACCAUCAUACGUGUCUCACUUCCUCAACUACAUCACCAUCAUCCCCGUCUCACAUUUUCAACUACAUCACCAUCAUCCCUGUCUCACUUCUUCAACUACAUCACCAUCAUCCCCAUCUCACUUCCUCAACUACAUCACCAUCAUCCCUGUCUCACUUCUUCAACUACAUCACCAUCAUCCCUGUCUCACUUCUUCAACUACAUCACCAUCAUC